AUUGAACGCUGGCGGCAUGCCUUACACAUGCAAGUCGAACGGUAACAGGGAGCUUGCUCCGCUGACGAGUGGCGAACGGGUGAGUAAUGUAUCGGAACGUACCUUUUAGUGGGGGAUAACGUAGCGAAAGUUACGCUAAUACCGCAUAUUCUCUGAGGAGGAAAGCAGGUGACCUUCGGGCCUUGCGCUAAUAGAGCUGCUGAUAUCAGAUUAGCUAGAUGGUGAGGUAAGGGCUCACCAAGGCGACGAGCUGUAGCGGGUCUGAGAGGAUGAUCCGCCACACUGGAGCUGAGACACGGUCCAGACUCCUACGGGAGGCAGCAGUGGGGAAUUUUGGACAAUGGGGGCAACCCUGAUCCAGCCAUGCCGCGUGAGUGAAGAAGGCCUUCGGGUUGUAAAGCUCUUUCGGCUGAAAAGAAAUCGCACAGGCUAAUACCCUGUGUGGAUGACGGUAUCAGCAUAAGAAGCACCGGCUAACUACGUGCCAGCAGCCGCCGUAA
rnacentral:rRNA from 1 species